rnacentral:rRNA from 1 species
CUUCCGUAGGGUAACCUGCGGAGGGAUCAUUAUUCAUUACAGUAAGCCUAUGGCUUCGGGGGCGAACAAGCCAGGCGCGGUCGACCCUUCGGGGCGUGGCAGCGUCGCGGCUCCCCGAAUCGUUAUGCUUUAGCGGGUGUGUUGCGGCCCUCGAGGCCCCGGACCGGCUCGACAGUGGUCAGCCGGCACGGGAACCAGCUCCGGGAGGUGUAGGGCUCCUCGUGGAGCCCUUUCACGCGCACAUGACUGAAUCCUUAUCUACUCGUACCUCUCGUUCUCCCUCGGCGGGGCGACCUGCCGUGGGAACCGCAAAACGAACCCUUCUUUGCAUCUAGCAUUACCUGUUCCGAUACCCACAAUCGUUACAACUUUCAACAAUGGAUCUCUUGGCUCUGGCAUCGAUGAAGAACGCAGCGAAAUGCGAUAAGUAGUGUGAAUUGCAGAAUUCAGUGAAUCAUCGAAUCUUUGAACGCACAUUGCGCCCCUCGGUAUUCCGUGGGGCAUGCCUGUUCGAGCGUCAUCUACACCCUCAAGCUCUGCUUGGUGUUGGGCGUCUGUCCCGCCUCCUUCGCGCGCGGACUCGCCCCAAAUCCAUUGGCGGCGGCCCUUGCCUCCCUCUCGCGCAGCACAUUGCGCUUCUCGAGGCGCGGCGGACCGCGUCCAGCAAGCAACCGUCACACCGUCUUUGACCUCGGAUCAGGUAGGGAUACCCGCUGAACUUAAGCAUAUCAAUAAGCCGGAGGA